UACGGAGGGUGCGAGCGUUGUCCGGAAUCAUUGGGCGUAAAGGGCGCGUAGGUGGCCCGGUCAGUUCGUGGUGAAAGCGCGGGGCUCAACCCUGCGUCGGCCAUGAAUACUGCCGCGGCUGGAGCACUGUAGAGGCAGGCGGAAUUCCGGGUGUAGCGGUGGAAUGCGUAGAGAUCCGGAAGAACACCGGUGGCGAAAGCGCUCUGCUAGGCCGCAACUGACACUCAUGGACGAAAGCUAGGGGAGCGAAUGGG
rnacentral:rRNA from 1 species